ensembl:snRNA U6 U6 spliceosomal RNA
GCGCACUGCGCAGCACGUACACUAACAUUGGAACGACACAGAGCUUAGCAUGGCCCCUGCGCAAGGAUGACACGCAAAUUCAGGAAGCGUUCCAUACUAAA